GACCCCAUUGGGAACCCCCUGGAAGUCCCAAUUGAGAACCCAUUGGAAGUGGCCCCAAACCCACUGUGGCCCCAUCCGCUUCCCACCAGACCCCCAUCUGGGCCCACAACCCCAAUUCCGUGUGUGGGUUCGGGGUCUCAGAGCAUUUGGGGGCAACUCUGAGAGCAUUGGGGGUUUUGGGGGGGGGGAAGUUCCUCCUGUGUGGAGGUGGAGUGGGGGGACACCCAGGGGGGGGGAGUCACUGAAACAGAGGGGGGAAGUCCUUGAAAAUAAGGGGGAGAUCCUAAAUAGUGAAUGGGGUCCUGAGGAGGGAAGGGGAGAAGCCCUAAAAUCGGGUGGAAGCCCCCAGAAAUAGAGGGGAGGCUUCUGGAAGAGUGCCCCAAAAUGGGGGGGGGCAAAAGAGGGGCGGCUCAGCUGCAGAAGGAGGGCCUCCCCACAGGGGGGUCAGGGGGGGGACCCCCAUUGCGAUGCUCGUUAGCGGGGCUGUGGGUUGGGGGCAGCUCUGUCAUGGGGACGGCCCUGAGCACCCCAAGGACCCCAUGGGGCAUCGUGUCCCCACUGUCCCCAUAGGGCAGUGCAUCCCCAAUGUCCCCAUAGGGCACCAUGUCCCCAAGGACCCCAUAGGGCACCAUGUUCCCAGUGUCCCCAUAGGGCAUCGUGUCCCCAAAAUUCCCAUAGGGCACCACAUCCCCAAGGACCCCAUAGGGCACCGUGUUUCCAGUGUCCCCAUAGGGCAUCGUGUCCCCAAUGUCUCCAUAGGGCACCACGUCCCCAAUGUCUCCAUAGGACACCAUGUCCCCAAGGACCCCAUAGGGCAUCGCGUCCCCAAAAUCCCCAUAGGGCACCGCAACCCCAAGGACCCCAUAGGGCACUGUGUCCCUAAUGUCCCCAUAGGGCACCAUGUCCCCAAGGACCCCAUAGGGCACUGUGUCCCUAAUGUCCCCAUAAGGCACCGCAUCCCUAAGGACCCCACAGGCACCAUGUCCCCAAUGUCCCCAUAGGGCACUGUGUCCCUAAUGUCCCCAUAGGGCACCACGUUCCCAAUGGGCAUCGUGUCCUCAUAGGGCAUUGUGUCCCCAAAAUUCCCAUAGGGCACCACAUCCCCAAGGACCCCAUAGGGCACCGUGUUCCCAGUGUCCCCAUAGGGCAUUGUGUCCCCAAUGUCCCCAUAGGGCACCGCAACCCCAAGGACCCCAUAGGGCACCGUGUUCCCAGUGUCCCCAUAGGGCACUGUGUCCCUAAUGUCCCCACAGGGUACAACGUCCCCAAUGUCCCCAUAGGGCAUCGUGUCCCCAAUGUCCCCAUAGGGCACCGCAUCCCCAAUGUCCCCAUAGGGAACCACGUCCCCAAUGUCCCCACAGGGCACCCAUCCCCCAAGGACCCCACACCUCCCAGUGCCCCCCAAGGACCCCA
rnacentral:lncRNA from 1 species